AUAUUUACCUGGCUGGGGAGGUAUCCUGAUCACUAAGGUGGUUUUCCUAGGGUUGGUUCACCCAUUGUGCUUGUGGAUUUGCUGAUUCCCACAAUUUCCCCAAAUAUAGAAAAUUCAACUGCUUAAUUUCUGUUGUGGGGGACUUCAUUCUCUCCCUC